rnacentral:lncRNA from 1 species
UUUUGUACUUUUUUGCUUUUAUAAAAAAUAACUUCAUUAUCAAUUUAAAAAUCCCUCCACACUCGUAGAAGAGAGGAGGGAUAAGAGAUGCUAGUGGUAUAGAUAAGAAAACACACAUUUCUUUGUUAACACUUAACUAGAUACAACUUUCAAACACAAAAUUAUCAAUAUUCAUAAUGAUAUUGAUUAAUAAGGACGUAAGAGAGGAGUGUGUGCAUGGUGGGCUUGGAAACUACUUGAGAUAUAAGACCAAACACUAAUAAAGGUAUAACCCCACUUUUUCUCACAAACUAUAAUAUAUAAAAUUUAAUAAUUGUAUAUAUGGUUUUGUAGUCUAAA